AUUGAUUAAAAUGAGCUCUGUUGUUUGAUGUGAUGGUUGGGUUUUUGAUGUAUGGCAGGAAGUUGCAGCACUCUCCGUGGAGCCUUGUGAAAGCGAAACAAUUAUUGUCACUGUUUUUGAGAUUAAAAAAACAGAGAUACCAGCUUAUAUAGAAAGAGAAAGGGAAUAUCGAUUUUUGGCUGUUUUUCCUGAAUCACUGGAUGGGGAGCCUUUUACCAAUCCAGCAGUAUGUGACUCAAACCUUACAUCUUUAGUAAUCUUUUAUUAUCUUA